GAGUAAUGUCUGGGAAACUGCCUGAUGGAGGGGGAUAACUACUGGAAACGGUGGCUAAUACCGCAUAACGUCGCAAGACCAAAGAGGGGGACCUUCGGGCCUCUUGCCAUCAGAUGUGCCCAGAUGGGAUUAGCUUGUUGGUGAGGUAACGGCUCACCAAGGCGACGAUCCCUAGCUGGUCUGAGAGGAUGACCAGCCACACUGGAACUGAGACACGGUCCAGACUCCUACGGGAGGCAGCAGUGGGGAAUAUUGCACAAUGGGCGCAAGCCUGAUGCAGCCAUGCCGCGUGUAUGAAGAAGGCCUUCGGGUUGUAAAGUACUUUCAGCGGGGAGGAAGGUGUUGUGGUUAAUAACCACAGCAAUUGACGUUACCCGCAGAAGAAGCACCGGCUAACUCCGUGCCAGCAGCCGCGGUAAUACGGAGGGUGCAAGCGUUAAUCGGAAUUACUGGGCGUAAAGCGCACGCAGGCGGUCUGUCAAGUCGGAUGUGAAAUCCCCGGGCUCAACCUGGGAACUGCAUUCGAAACUGGCAGGCUUGAGUCUUGUAGAGGGGGGUAG
rnacentral:rRNA from 1 species